UACGGGGGGGGUAAGCGUUGUUCGGAAUUACUGGGCGUAAAGGGCUCGUAGGCGGCCAACUAAGUCGGACGUGAAAUCCCUCAGCUUAACUGGGGAACUGCGUCCGAUACUGGAUGGCUUGGAUUUGGGAGAGGGAUGCGGAAUUCCAGGUGUAGCGGUGAAAUGCGUAGAUAUCUGGAGGAACACCGGUGGCGAAGGCGGCAUCCUGGACCAAUAUUGACGCUGAGGAGCGAAAAGCUAGGGGAGCAAACGGGG
rnacentral:rRNA from 1 species